rnacentral:misc_RNA from 1 species
GACCUCAUGCAGUAGGACCAAGGCUUCUCCUUAUUAUCUUCGACACGGUGGUGAUGGCUCUGACGAUAGCAGCUGCUUCUGCUGCUGCGGCCAUGGUUUACUUAGCUCAUAAUGGGAAUUCAAAUGCAAAUUGGAACGCAAUUUGUCAACAGUUUACUGAUUUCUGCCAGCAGACCAGUACUGCUGUAGUGGCUUCCUUCAUAACUUCAGCCAUGUUCCUGUUUCUCAUUGUGUUGUCUGCGUUUGCUCUCAGAAAUUAAUUAAUUAAUUAUCAUCAUAAUGCUCUUUCUUCCAUUUCCCAUAGGCUUCUGCAUGCCUUGCUUUUGUGUAAUCCUUGUUUGCUGUACUCUGUAAAUUCGGUGUGUUCAUAUAUAAAUCUUCUUUCUUGCUA